CCCAGACCACUUAAUUGAAAUUAAAGCGGCACUAUCACGCCGAACUUACCUUUCCCCAAUCGAUUCCUCUUCUCUCCCUCUCUCAGGAUCUGUUAUUCAUUUCUUCCUAUCUGCUCUAGUUUUCUUUAAAACUUAAAACAAAGUAGGGACUAUUUCUCUUCUGGAGGUUUCCACGCCAUGACCAGCGGAGGAGCAAAGUGUGCUUCAUUUCCCGUGGUCAGAGAAAUUUUCCCAUAAUUCUUAGCUUUCCUCCCUCUUCCCAAAAUGCUUCCUGUCAGUAUUGCCGAGCGACCUGUCACUUGGACAGAACGCCGGCACAACUGCCGAAUUGCGUCCUAACAGAAUGAGAACAGUUACUCCAUUCGUGUUAGAACGCAAUUCGGGACUUUGUGUCGGAAUUUAAAUCGAAUGGAUGAAACUCCGAUCCUAUUUGCGCUGUGGCUGCAUCUUGUAGCCACUUAGUAA